GACAAGAAAUAACAAUACGGGGCUUAAUGUCUUGUAAUUGGAAUGAUGGGAAUUUAAACCUCUUCCAGAGUAUCAAUUGGAGGGCAAGUCUGGUGCCAGCAGCCGCGGUAAUUCCAGCUCCAAUAGCGUAUAUUAAAAUUGUUGCAGUUAAAAAGCUCGUAGUUGAAUUUCUGCUGCAUUGCUUUUGCUCCUUUACGAGUCUUUGCAUUGUGGCUUAUUUCGGACUUUGUUUUACAAUGUCCGGAUGUUUACUUUGAGAAAAUUAGAGUGCUCAAAGCAGGCUUUCGCCUUGAAUAGUUUAGCAUGGAAUAAUAAAGUAGGACUUUGGUUCUAUUUUGUUGGUUUUAGGUACCAAAGUAAUGGUUAAUAGGAACAGUUGGGGGCAUUCGUAUUUAACUAAUCAC
rnacentral:rRNA from 1 species